GGUGAGAGACGCGUGCGCGUUAGGCCGGAGCCUGGUGGGAGUUCUGUGCGCAGUGUCCGUGCAGGAGCUUCCGGUGGAGGAUCUUGUUUUGGCUCCACGGAGUUGGGCUGGCGACGUGGGCGCUCUUGGCGUGGGGCGGGCGGUCUCUCGGGGUCCACAUGAGCCAAUGGCAUCGUGCCCACAGCCGCUGGGGCCGGGGACGCGCCUCUUCUGGACGUUCGUCGGCCAAGAAGAAGGGCGGGAACCACAUCCCCGAAAGGUGGCAAGACUAUCUCCCUGUUGGACGGAGGAUGCCUGGGACUCCAACUUUGCUUUCAAAGUUCCUUUGAAAAAGCAUAUACUUUGUAUUUUGCCUUUUACUGUCCUGAAAUGAAAUUCAUAGGGGUGAGACACCAUGGGCUCUGUGGAUCUACAAUGAUUGGGAAACUCCAAGUUAGGAGGCUGUCCCAGUAAUCCAGGCAGGAAAUGAUGGAGACUUGGACUAGAGUGGAAGUGGAGGAAAAUGGUCAGAAGUGGACAAGUCCUUGAUACAAUGUGAAGUUCCUCCGGCUGCGAAACCCUUUGAACUGACUCCUGCAUCCUACGGCUGUUCCAGUGGCAAACCAGUGCACAGGCGCACCUAUUACUCUCGCUCCUUGGAAAUCCACUCUUCCAACGGAUUAUUCUCCUUCGCUUCACUUGAUGGAGGUGUUUAGACAAGGCAGCAUGCGUGGCCCCGGUCAUGGAGAAGGCCCUGGCUAGCCCCUCAAGUAAAUAUUUAGGCUUCUCCUCAAGUUUGGUCUCUUCCACUACUAACUUCCAGAGGCUGUGCUCUGAAAGCCUGGUUGGGUACCUAGAGACACUUGCAAAUACUGAGGACCUUGGAGAAAAGCCUCCAAUCUAGACUUUGCUCUACCACAUGCAAUGUGACCUCAGCCCAUUGCUGAACCUCAUGACUAAAGUGGCACAGUGAUACUGACCUUGAAUGUUGUCCAUUAGUGGGUGUGGUACCUAGGUGUUGAGUAAGUGGGGAUUUAUAUCUCACGCCCUGUUCUGGGUGGGCCUCCUACUGCCGUAGUUCACUUGGCUAGUUAUAAGCUGCCUCCAGGAUAACUCUCAGCCCUUGCCACUCAAUCUGAUAGGUUCCACUGAUUUGUACUUACCUCUCAACUAUAAUCAUACAUGGUAAGGCAACCCAGACCUUUUGGAAAUGUGCCCAGUAUCUGUUUUCUAAAAUACUUACCUGGUGGUCAUGAGACAUAAGGCCAGCCUCCAGGAGAGACUUUACAUUUCUCCUGGCCAACCUAGAGUCAUUUUCUGCCAUCUUCAACUCUAUUCAGAUUUUACCCUUUUAACCCUAACCUCAGACCCUGCAUCUUCUGCCAUUUUCCCCCUUACUGCUUCUUUUUAUAAACCCAUAACCUCCCCUUUAAUCUUUCUGGCCAUAGACAAAAUUCCCCCAGUUCUUACCCCUUGUCCCUCAUUUGCCCAUCCAACUACCAAUUCUCAUGCAGCUUUUGAUCCCCACCCCCACCAAGGAAAACCACAGUUAACAGCAUCUCAAAACUCAAAAGGCUUCAUUAGUCAUCUUCUAAUUCUAUUUUAUUAUUCAAUUUUAUUAAGAUUUAAAAUAUAUCAGAAUACAGCAAUUUAUAUUUAUCUACUGUGGGAAAACUGUAGAUAUCCAGAGUGGCAUAAAUACUCCUAGCAUCACUUA